GCCCGCUCAGAAACUUAAAGUGAAUUGACGGGGGCCCGCACAAGCGGUGGAGCAUGUGGUUUAAUUCGAUGAUACGCGAGGAACCUUACCUGGGCUCGAACGUAAGAUGACUGUAGGUGAAAGCUUACAUCUCUUCGGAGCAUUUUACGAGGUGCUGCAUGGUUGUCGUCAGCUCGUGCCGUGAGGUGUCGGGUUAAGUCCCAUAACGAGCGCAACCCCUACCUUUAGUUGCCAUCAGGUUAAGCUGGGGACUCUAAAGGAACUGCCUACGCAAGUAGUGAGGAAGGCGGGGAUGACGUCAAAUCAGCACGGCCCUUACGUCCAGGGCUACACACGUGCUACAAUGGCCGAUACAGAGGGCAGCUACCUGGUGACAGGAUGCAAAUCUCCAAAGUCGGUCUCAGUUCGGAUCGGAGUCUGCAACCCGACUCCGUGAAGUUGGAUUCGCUAGUAAUCGCGCAUCAGCCAUGGCGCGGUGAAUACGUUCCCGGGCCUU
rnacentral:rRNA from 1 species